rnacentral:rRNA from 1 species
CCUACGGGAGGCAGCAGUGGGGAAUAUUGGACAAUGGGCGCAAGCCUGAUCCAGCAAUGCCGCGUGAGUGAUGAAGGCCUUAGGGUCGUAAAGCUCUUUUACCAGGGAUGAUAAUGACAGUACCUGGAGAAUAAGCUCCGGCUAACUCCGUGCCAGCAGCCGCGGUAAUACGGAGGGAGCUAGCGUUGUUCGGAAUUACUGGGCGUAAAGCGUACGUAGGCGGUUAUUCAAGUCAGAGGUGAAAGCCCGGGGCUCAACCCCGGAACGGCCUUUGAAACUAGGUAGCUAGAAUCUUGGAGAGGUCAGUGGAAUUCCGAGUGUAGAGGUGAAAUUCGUAGAUAUUCGGAAGAACACCAGUGGCGAAGGCGACUGACUGGACAAGUAUUGACGCUGAGGUACGAAAGCGUGGGGAGCAAACAGGAUUAGAUACCCUGGUAGUCCACGCCGUAAACGAUGAUAACUAGCUGUUCGGGCAACUUGGUGUCUGUAGUGGCGCGAGCUAACGACAUUAAGUUAUUCCGUCCGUCGGGUAGGUACGGUCGCGAAGAAUUAAACUAACAAUAGUAAUUAGACGGCGUGAGACGUGCCGAACGGACGACGACGAGGGAGUAGG